GAUAUUCUCAAUGGGGAGACCUGCCACAUCAGAUUAAAAAAUCAUCCAAUCAGAGCAUUCCUUACUGCCACGUCAUAAUCUCAGCGUAAAGAGAACCGUCGUCUCUGAUUCUUCCUCUCCCUCUGCGUCUUCCGACUCUCAACGUUUCUCCGUUACUGCAUGUUUCUCCACACUUAAUCAUUCAUUCAUGUUUUUUAAUUAUCUCUUAUUGAGCUAACCUUCCAACUCCCUCUCUUUCUACUCCUAUAUAAAUCACUUCCUUAAAGGUUUAAUCGAAUCGUUCUCUACAGCAUCCAUUCGAUGAAAAUAACCGAUGGCCGAAAUUGAUUCAACAUCCGACAAGUCUCCUAUUGCAUUUUAUUUCGUCGACAUAUCACCAGGGCCAUCGGACUCGGGAUUACGCUUUAGUUUGAUCCAUUUCUGGGAGGCCAAAAACACUGCCAGUGGUAGGAGCUGCUAAUCCUCAACGAACAGGGCACUGUGAUGCAAGGUUUCAUUUCAUCAAAUCUUAGAGGCAAUAUAAAUCUCAAAAUUAAACAACUGACCUUUCGUAUGUUUAAUUAUUUCUUUUGAUAUCAGGAACUGGUAUUGUAAUUAUAGGAUUUUCAAAAUGUUCUUGACUGAGAUAUAUCUGUUUUGUUAUACACUGGAGAUUGUUGACCAAAACGAACCCAAGCUUUAUCUGCAGUGGCAUACGUUGUUUAAGGUAAGAAAACUUCAGAUCUCUCUGAUCUUUUGCAGUUUCUGAAUUUCGUUCCCCUUUUAUCUUGGUUUGAAUCCCCAAAUUCAUGUAUCUCAAGUUUCAGUCCUCUUACGGAGAUAAUCUAAUCAUGAUAGAAAGUCUCUUAACAUUUAUUAGCAGCACACAUAUGUAGAGUCAUACAUAUCUAAGCUGUGAUAUUCAGGCCACAGUUGAAUGAUUGAGAAAUUUAAAUGUAGAAUAGGUUGUAUGAAUAGGUUUAUUUUGGUUUAGUAAACGGUAACAAUAUUUCGAAAACUUAGUAUAAGUGAGAUCAUCUGCAACGGCUUAUCAAUCAGUGUUGAUCUGUCUCAAAGAGACAAUUGGAUGUGAGUGUGUGAUAGUAGAAGCAUGGCUAAAGAGGAGCACGGCAAAAAUGGGGACUAAGGCCGACGAAAGGUUUCUCUUUCUCAAACAUCAAUAUCAUACAAGUCUUAUUUAUAACUUUGGUCUCAGAAAGAUUAUGCUUCCCUUUAUUUGGUUAUGUUUUCAAAGUUGUCAUAAGCUGCACUAACAUGAGAGUAAAUCAUUGGUGAGAUGGAAAAAAACUUACAGGCAAUGCCUUGGGGGGUUAACAAGAACUGGUAUGGUGGUCUAUUUUGUGGUGCUGGUAGUGGCUGUGGCGGCAGUGGGGUGAUAGACGUGGUGGGAGCGUCAGCAAUGAUAUGAUCUUUGUCAAGCUGAUGACUUUCAGACUGAUUAUUUUGCAAGAAGUUGAUGGUUAUAUAUGUCGCUAUAAUAAAAACUCCCAUGCCAUUCUUCACUUAAGUCGGGAUAGAGGAUGCAGACAAGUAUGUUGUUGUUGCUUUCCAUAACAACCUGAACUCCAAGUAUUUGCUCGAGAGUCAGAACCAUCACCAACCAAUAUAAACAUCAGGUUUUUUGUUCAGGACUAGCGGAUGGUAUCUUUUCACAUGACUAUAGGCCAGCGCCGGUUCCAAAAAAUAUACAUACUACAUUUACAAUAGAACGGAUGGGGAAGCAGCAAUAAACAUGUUGGAUGGUUGUCAACAACAAGAGCAAUAAACUACACCUAAAUUCUGAAGACAAUAGAUCGUUGUAACAGAGUGAUUGAUUACCUACGUAAAAUUAACAAUGACAUCACAUUCCAUUUGAGAGGGGCAUCAACUUUGGUAAAUAACAACACGAUUGGUAA